GGCUGGGCCUGGGCUCAGUGGCUGAGCACCUGCCUUGCAUGAAGAAGGCCCUUGGUUCAUUCCCCAAUGGCAGCCC